GGACUACACGGGUUUCUAAUCCCGUUUGCUCCCCUGGCUUUCGCACCUGAGCGUCAGGAACUUCCCAGGACACUGCCUUCGCCUUUGGUGUUCCUCCGGAUAUCUACGCAUUUCACCACUCCACCCGGAAUUCCGUGUCCCUCGUAAGCCCUCAAGUCCGGCAGUCUUCAAAGACCCUUCUCAGUUGAGCCGACAAUUGUCACUCCAAACUUACCGGACCGCCUGCGUGCGCUUUACGCCCAGUAACUCCGGACAACGCUCGCCCCCUACGUAUUACCGCGGCUGCUGGCAC
rnacentral:rRNA from 1 species